UCUUCCUCGGUACGCUAAUCUGAAGCUAGAUAGAUGGAAUGAUCCAUUUAGUUACUAAGGACAGAGUUACACUUUUAACCUAUUUGGCUCAACUUUUGCGAUAGAGACCUUCGUUAUCGAGUCCACAAUAAUAAUAGGAUUUAGCAUUAGAAGGAAUUAGUUUAGCAUUAUUAGAUGAUGACGAUUUUUAUGUUUUAGGACUUUACCCUUGAAAAGUCUGAAGAUUAAACUAUAUUGCUUAGUGGCUGGAUAUUUUUAUUUAUGCAAACAAGAACAAUCACCAUCAACAAUUGAAUCCGGUGCAGAGCAGAUGUUAAAAACAGAGCAGAACUUAAGAAUGGAAGUGGUCACGAAUCCCGUACCUGCUGUUUUCGUUCUUCUGCUUGGAGCAUUGUUUAUCGUCCUGUUCAUCAGCUGGUGUUGCAAACAAUGCAGUCGAUCCAAAGAUGGUGACAGUUUAAUCGUCGCUCCAAAUGUUCGCAGGCGAUAUAUCACCGCAAUAGAUGUGCAAACUGGAUUGCCAGUGAUAAUACACACCUCAGCCUUAUUAGGCAGUAGCAAUGGAAGACCUCUAAGAACGCCAACAAGGAUGACUGGACCAUGUAACUCAAGCAGUAAUUCAACGUUAUAUGGCACUAUCUUAUAUGAGGAACCACAAUUAUGUGCAGACAUGCCGUGUAGAACGCCACCUCCACCGUAUUCUGAGAUUCAUUUACCAAGAGUGUGACAGCUAUGAAAUUUUAAGAAAGGAUUUGAAUUUUAUUAUAUGGCCUGUAUUGGAUACAGGCAACAUCAGUUUUGUUCAACAGAAAUUUAAAAAUGCGGACGGCUAAAUAUGCCUUCCUUAUGUGCUAAAGUUGUGAGACAACACCACAAGAUUUAUUUUUCUCUGUUUGGUAUAGCUGUGGAACAUCUGGCGUGGUACCCAAUGUAUCAUCAUCAAUGUUAUACUAAGGCGCAAUAUCUUUUGCGCUGUAAAAUGCUCAACUACAUAUGGAAUGUGAAUACUUAUGCUCAUUGUAUGUUCAUUUUAAACACUUCUAGACUUUAACACUGGAGUAAUUCGCUUUGUUAUGUGAAUUGUGAGCUACAGCAUACAUUGCAAGUGGUUGGGAAAUGUAAAAUUUUCAGAGAGAGUGUUUUAUUUUAGAGGGGAAAACGGAAUAAAGCUUAAAUAUUCUUCUCUGGUACUGACAACAUGGUGUUUACAGAUUACAUUCACGUGCUGAUUACAUGUACUAUAUCUAAAUAGCUAGCAUUAUGUGAUCAAUAAUUAUUUUUUAUUAAAAAAUAAUAAGUAUACCAUUAUUUGAUAUAGGUAAUAAAUUUUUGUAGUUAAUUAA